rnacentral:rRNA from 1 species
CCUACGGGGGGCUGCAGUGGGGAAUUUUGCACAAUGGGGGAAACCCUGAUGCAGCAACGCCGCGUGAGUGAUGAAGGCCCUCUGGGUUGUAAAGCUCUUUCGGUUGGGAAGAAGUGUGACGUGGCUAAUAUCCACGUUAUUUGACGGUACCAAAAGAAGAAGCACCUGCUAACUUCGUGCCAGCAGCAGCGGUAAUACGAAGGGUGCAAGCGUUGUUCGGAAUUACUGGGCGUAAAGGGCGCGUAGGCUGGUUUGCAAGUCUAAUGUGAAAUCCC